rnacentral:rRNA from 1 species
GAUCCUGGCUCAGAUUGAACGCUGGCGGCAGGCUUAACACAUGCAAGUCGAACGGUAACUGGAAGCAGCUUGCUGCUUCGCUGACGAGUGGCGGACGGGUGAGUAAUGUCUGGGAAACUGCCUGAUGGAGGGGGAUAACUACUGGAAACGGUAGCUAAUACCGCAUAACGUCGCAAGACCAAAGAGGGGGGACCUUCGGGCCUCUUGCCAUCGGAUGUGCCCAGAUGGGAUUAGCUAGG